AGGACCACCACAGGCCUGAGGUGCGGUCAGGAGGGUACAAGCUGGACCUGGAUACCUGGUACCUCUCCCUGGCCUACGGGGACCCCUUUGCCUUGAUGAAGGUGAACACCGCUGCACCGGAGGGGUUCAGAGCCUGAGAACAUGACCGCAUCACAUCCCCCGCACACAACACUUGCCUUACCCCACACUGCAGU